rnacentral:lncRNA from 1 species
CUGGAACUGAGUUGUAAAUACAAAAAUCGCACGAAAGUUUCAAGAUUGCAAAAACUAAAUCAGGUGUCUUUUAUAUAGUUUUGUACAUCAGACUUGAAGACUAGAAGCACAGCAUAUGAUAUCUAGCUUAUUGAGUAGUGUGAUUAUCCAGAGGAUAAGAAGCAGUGUAUUUAAUAAGCCCUAAUACAUAAGAGGUACUUUCUUAUGACCUUCUAUAAUUGCGAUUCCUCCAUAUUUUUUGGCAGCGUGCUUGAAGUCGAUAGCAGCUGGCUUGCGUGGGAAAACCAAAUUUUUACCCUUUGAUGGUUUUUGCAUAUAAUAUUCAUUCUGUUGGCAUUCUUGGCGAGUAGUCGGAUCCCUGGUUUGGGGAAAGAACUUCUCUAUGAUUAUAAAUCCUUCUUGGCCAAUCUUCAAAAGAUUUUCCUGACGUGCCAUGUCAAAUUUAAACUGAUCACAGAGAAUAGAAAUUUGGUACUGGUUUUUAUGUUGUUUGUGAUGACAAUAUUGCCAAAUGAUGGUCUUUAUAUAGAAUUGCAAGGUAUAAACUUUUAGUCCG